rnacentral:rRNA from 1 species
CUUCCGCCGGCGACCGGCGCACGGGUGAGUAACACGUAUGCAACCUGCCCCUGUCAGGGGACAACCGCCGAAAGGCGGGCUAAACCCGCGUACAUGCCACCGGGGCAUCCCGGAGGCAGGAAAGGCUUCGGCCGGACAGGGAUGGGCAUGCGGCGCAUUAGGCAGUAGGCGGGGUAACGGCCCACCUAACCGACGAUGCGUAGGGGUUCUGAGAGGAAGGUCCCCCACACUGGUACUGAGACACGGACCAGACUCCUACGGAAGGCAGCAG